rnacentral:lncRNA from 1 species
CAAAACGAGUUGGGCUUCGAGAAGCUUGUUUUGUGGUGUUAACAGUUUCUUCAAAAACAACGUAGAAAUGCCUGAAUAUUGCAUCAAUUGUCAUCGAAUAAACAUAAAAAAGAGGCAGGUUUUCAAUUCUGCAUUCGAAAAUGAUUAAAAAAAAGAUGUCGGCAAGGAUGAGCGGCAGUGAUUUCUCCGACAAGAUGGCGUGCCACCACACUAUGCCGUUCCUGUUCGAGCUUAUUUCAAUCAAUUAUUUCUCAAUAAUCAAGAUUUGACUCCGCCAGACUUCUUCCUUUAGGGAUAUCUGAAGAGUAAACUUUACACCAUUGGACCAAAAAAUACUUUGGAUGAACAAAAAAUCAGAAUAUGAGAAGUUUAGCGAAUAAUUUUUGAUAUCUUCAUCAAUCGUUUAGGAUUUGCCCAAGGUGAUGCCAACCCUCUAAAAGUACAGAUAGUACCGAUUUUUUCUCAGUUGUGCAUCAGUUAACUGUGCACUGAAACAACAAACCACCUUCAAGAAAGUUAUUUUGAUUAACAAUAUAAUGACACCAACUAUGGUUUUGCUGUAGUCUAACUUUUGAAGACAAUUCUUCAGUUUAACAGACAGGUGUUAUAUUAAACUUCUUCAAGUUCCUCCCCAAGUCGAACUGAAAGGAAGGGUGAAAGGUUGCGACGAUGUGGAUUUUUGGUAUGCUGGAGUUGGGCAAAGAAUAAUUUAUUUAUGUAGUUAUCAUAUAUUCUGCAUGUCUUUUAGGAUGUAACCAUAAUUAAAUCCCGUUUUUAGUCUUUAGCAUAAGGUAUUUAAGGCAAUGUGUACCAUUUAAGCCAAAAACAAAAUUAUGAAAUACAACAUUAUGAUGAAAUAUAAAAAUUAAAA